GACGAACGCUGGCGGCGUGCCUAAUACAUGCAAGUUGAGCGCUGAAGGCUGGUACUUGUACCAACUUGAUGAGCAGCGCACGGGUGAGUCACGCGUGGGGAAUCUGCCUUUGAGCGGGGGACAACCUUUGGAAACGAAUGCUAAUACCGCAUAAAAACUUUAAACACAAGUUUUAAGUUUGAAAGAUGCAAUUGCAUCACUCACAGAUGAUCCCGCGUUGUAUUAGCUAGUUGGUGAGGUAAAGGCGCACCAAGGCGAUGAUACAGAGCCGACCUGAGAGGGUGGUCGGCCAGAUUGAGAGUGUGACCGGGCACAAAGGGCUUGGGGAAGGAGCAGGAGGGAAUCGGCGGGAAGGGACGAAAGAUUGACCGAGAAAGGCGGAGGGAGGGAGGAAGGUUGCCGGGUCGUGAAACUCUGUUGGUGGGGUAGAACGUUGGUGAGAGUGUAAAGAUGAGCGAGUGACGGUAACGGCUAAGGAAGGAACGGCUAACUACGUG
rnacentral:rRNA from 1 species